rnacentral:rRNA from 1 species
CACGUAGGGGGCAAGCGUUGUCCGGAUUUAUUGGGCGUAAAGAGCUCGUAGGUGGUUCGGUAAGUCGGGUGUGAAACCUCCAGGCUCAACCUGGAGACGCCACCCGAUACUGCUGUGACUGGAGUCCGGUAGGGGAGCGUGGAAUUCCUGGUGUAGCGGUGAAAUGCGCAGAUAUCAGGGGGAACACCAGCGGCGAAGGCGGCGCUCUGGGCCGGUACUGACACUGAGGAGCGAAAGCGUGGGUAGCAAACAGG